CUUGGAAUCCAGAGAGAUCCCACGGCUCCGUGUUGACGACGGCUUGUGAGGGGGCCCUAGAGACUUUGUAAGUGGCCACGGGCUGUUACUGGGACGGCUGCAGUGACGUCCGCAUUCUUCCCGAGGUCUGCUCAGAACGACCAACUACAUUCACACACAAGCCGUUGUCACCAGCCCUCAUUUUGCUGAACGUGAGAAACCAUCCUGCCAGCGACAUAAGGCUUUGGUGUGACUGGAUUUUACUAAAAAUUUGAAGGAGUCUUUCUGCUGCUAUGUGAAGAAACUUGAGUUGGCCUCCUGGAAGAUAAUGCAGAAGUGAAAGACCCCCAGCUGUUCUAGUACAACUAUCCAGCCAUUCCAGUUGAGACCAUCCUGUGUUACUAAGAUUAUACCAGAAGACCAGACUGGCCAGUUCAAAAGGUUAUGUUAACCUUGAAGAAUUGAUGCUUUCAAACUGGUGCUGGAGAGGAUGCUUGAGCGUCCCUUGGACUGCAAGGAGAUCAAACCAGUCAAUCCUAAAGAUAAUCUACCCUGGAUAUUCUCUGGAAGGGCUGCUGCUGAAGCUGAAACUCCAAUACUUUGGCCACCUGAUGAAAAGAGCCAACUCAUUAGAAAAGACCCUGAUGCUGGGAAAGACAGAGGGUAGAAGGAGAAGGGGACAACAAAGGAUGAGAUGGUUGGAUGGCAUCACCAACUCAAUGGACAUGAGUUUGAGCAAACUCUAGGAAAUGGUGAUGGACAGGGAAGUCCAUGGGGUCACAAAGAAUGGGGCAGGACUUAGUGACUGAACAACAGCAAACAGCCUUUAGAAGUCAUGGGAGAGUGGAAGAAAUGUUGUGAAGAAAAGAAGUUCGCAAGCAUAUUUGCUUCACUAAAGCUGUCCCCUCAAAUUACGAGAACCUGUCGCUCUCUAGUAUGGUGGCCUUACCGCUUUGUUUAAAAUGAUGGAUUGAUGGGACAAAUCCUGUGGUGGCAUUCAGGAAGUUUAUAGGAUUGGGUUAGAAAGAGGAAAAGUCGAGUUGAGAAGGAAAAACAGAUGAGAGAGGAGUACUGAAGAAAAAUCUAUGCAGCAAUUCUUGGCUGGGUCUGGUAGCCAGCCUAGGAAGUAGAGAGGCAUUUGGGAGGUCAUGGUGACAGUCUGAACCAGGAUUUAAGACAGGAGAGGACCAGGGCUGGCAGAUAAUAAAAAAUGAAGAAUCUCAGUGAUAUUCUUUUAGCAGUCUCUUUGUCGGCCUGGAUACCUUGUCUUGGGCUAUUUAUAUUCUCCUUGUGCCUGAUAGACUUAAACUGAUUUUGACUAGCUUAUUAUGAGCAGAUGUUCAUGUCAUAUAUAUUAGCUAUGAUAAAUUCUCUCUUCUCCUCUUUCUCUCUCUUUUUUUAAAAGGUGAAUUAAAAAUGGCACUGACAAAGUUUAACUGAAG
ensembl:lncRNA